AUUCUGUUUCAGGGCGAGGUGAAAUUCCUCACUGGCGGUAAUCGACUUGGAGCGUCCGCAACGCUCAGCAAGCGAAAGUCCGCGACCCCGAUGCGCACGCGUCGGGCUGACUCCGGUGAAACUCCGGGACCAACGGUUACAGUCCGGAUGGAAGAGGCAGAGU
rnacentral:ncRNA from 2 species